CAUUUGUAAAUCUAAGUUGUUGCUUUCCAAAUGCACUGGGUUCUGAUUUAAUGGACAGUAUAAAAUAAUUUGAGCCUAGAGUUCCUUUGUGAACAUACUGACUACCAGUAGAGGUGUAGAUUGUAGGCUGUUUAAUGGUUUUGUCUGUUAUUCUAUCCUUUGGAUUAUAUUUGGUUGAUCCCUGUCCCUCUUCCCAUGAAUGUAUGUUUUAGCUUCUUUGUUCUAACUGAGUGGUUUUUGUUUUCAGUUUCUGCUGGGUUAUUACUAAACACUUGGGCUUCUUUUUUUUUAAUAUUUAUUUUUUGGGGUAGAUGGACACAACACAAAGCAUUUUAUUUUUUUUAUGUGGUGCUGAGGAUCGAACCCAGCGCCUCGCACGUGUUAGGCAAGUGCUCUACCGCUAAGCCACAACUCCAGUCACUAUGUUUUAGCUUCUUUGAAUGCCUGUUAAUUUUAAGUUAGGUGCCAGGCAUUAUGAAUUUUACCUCACUAGAUAUAUCU
rnacentral:lncRNA from 1 species